ensembl:lincRNA Gm26542 predicted gene, 26542
AGAGUUACCUGAGCUGCGCUGAGCGCGCGUAUCCCUGGAAAUAGCGGAGGCGCGCGAACAGGUAGAACAGUCCGCACAGGGCUGCGGCUCCUGCGAGAGUCGAUGCAAGGCGACGCGGUGAGCACGAGCUCCCGCCAUCCGGGAUUACCCCCACCCCCGAAGUGUGCCCCCACGCUGCCCCGCACCUUCGUGGAAGAAGAUGCCGGCGACCCAGAGUGUGGCGAGGAACAGCGGAAAGUACUCGCUGCAGUUUACCCUGCGAGGGGUAGGCUGGGUGAGCGCGUGGUUCACCUUGGCUGACACCCGAACCCGCCCGGACCCGCCGCGCUCACUGGGCUCGGAAGACGCGCUCGAACUCGGGAGGGCCAGAGUACCCCCUUCAUGGAUCAAGAGAAGAUACUGAGCAUCAUAACCGCCACAGAGAGCUGCUCCAGCUGUACAAGGUAGCCACUGGGGAAGAACUGCCCUUAUUCAUCGACAGACCAAAAGUACUGUCCAGGAAAGGACACAGGAUGUGGGAUAGUCGACAGCUUAGCUCUGCCAAGAAAGGCUCUCUGCAAAGCUUUACACUUGGGCUGUCAAGAUGGCUCAGCCAGUCUUCCACCACACCUGAUGGCAUGAUUAUAAUCCCGGGACCCACUUGGGGAAGCCAACUCCAGCAUGUUAUCUUCUAGUCUCCACAGGCAUGCUGUGGCAUACAUCUACUAACCGACAUCCACAUAUUUUUUAAAAAUGUAGUGAGAAAAAUUCAAAGUUGUGCUAUCCAAGUUGAAAUCCUACAUCAUCAAGGCCUCUUUCCCCCUCUAAAGGAGCCACUGAAAUGGAAACCCCACUGUUUCCUUGGAGAGGCCUCUCUUGUAGGCCCAACCCCGGGUUGAACAGCUCAGCUAGCGUCACGUCAGUGAAAAGGCCCUCCCUCUGUAGAGAAAGCUGAAGUCUCAACUCACAAGACCCUCACAUCAAGCUCUAAUAUGGUAACAUCAACCUGACAUGGCAAAUCUAUCUGCUCAGGGUUUCACAUUCAAAGGACUUACUGACAAGUCAGACUCAAGUCGCUUUUUAAAGCUAAGCUUGGUGGUGUUCAUUUUUAAUCUCAGCACUUGGGAAGGAGGAACAAGCGGAUCUCUGAAUUUGAGGCCAGCCUGGUCUACAGAGCAAGUUCCAGAACAGCCAGGACGACACACACACACAAACAUGGUGUGCCCACCAAAAAUAAAUAAAUAAAAGUUUUUAUUUUU